rnacentral:rRNA from 1 species
UACGUAGGUGGCAAGCGUUGUCCGGAUUUACUGGGCGUAAAGAGCGCGCAGGCGGUCGUUCAAGUCGCGUGUGAAAGCCCCCGGCUCAACUGGGGAGGGUCACGCGAUACUGAUCGACUCGAAGGCAGGAGAGGGAAGUGGAAUUCCCGGUGUAGUGGUGAAAUGCGUAGAUAUCGGGAGGAACACCAGUGGCGAAGGCGACUUCCUGGCCUGGUCCUGACACUCAGGAGCGAAAGCGUGGGGAGCGAUCCGG